rnacentral:rRNA from 1 species
UACAGAGGGUGCAAGCGUUGUUCGGAAUUAUUGGGCGUAAAGGGCGCGUAGGCGGUGCGGUAAGUCUUUUGUGAAAUCUCCGGGCUCAACUCGGAGUCUGCAGGAGAAACUGCCGUGCUGGAGUAUGGGAGAGGUGAGUGGAAUUCCCGGUGUAGCGGUGAAAUGCGUAGAUAUCGGGGGGAACACCUGUGGCGAAAGCGGCUCACUGGACCAUUACUGACGCUGAGGCGCGAAAGCUAGGGGAGCAAACAGG